rnacentral:rRNA from 1 species
GACAGAGGCCUCAAGCGUUAGGCGGAAUCACUGGGCUUAAAGCGUGUGUAGGCGGAUCGUUAAGUGUCUUGUGAAAUCCCACGGCUCAACCGUGGAACGGCUGGGUAUACUGCCUGUCUUGAGCCAACUAGGGGCGAGCGGAACAGACGGUGGAGCGGUGAAAUGCGUAGAUAUCGUCUGGAACGCCAAAGGUGAAAACAGCUCGCUGGGGUUGUGACUGACGCUGAGACACGAAAGCCAGGGGAGCGAACGGG